UACAGAGGCCUCGAGCGUUAGGCGGAAUCACUGGGCUUAAAGCGUGUGUAGGCGGACUUCUAAGUACCUUGUGAAAUCCCACGGCUCACCCGUGGAACUGCUCGGUAUACUGGUCGUCUUGAGCCUUCUAGGGGCGAGUGGAACAAAUGGUGGAGCGGUGAAAUGCGUAGAUAUGACAUAGAACACCAAUUGCGAAGGCAGCUCACUACACGAAUAUUGACACUGAGGCACGAAAGCGUGGGGAUCAAACAGG
rnacentral:rRNA from 1 species